rnacentral:lncRNA from 1 species
UACCACCACAAGCAUGUUCGAAUUCCUGCCAAAUAACACUUUCCUUUGGGCCGAUGUUAAACGCAUGGAAGACUAACAUCCACAGUCAUAUUUAUAUUUAAGAUUAAUCAAUCUACACAAUAGAGGUUACUUUGGCAACAUAAUGCUUCAAUUGACUAAUUAACAUAUUAGAUGCUAUAAACUUUAGUUCCUUAAGCCAUAUUAUGAAUCUUUAACUUAAUAAGUUAC